rnacentral:lncRNA from 11 species
CAGGAAACCCUGUAAUAGGGUUACCUUUUGGUAGCCAUUAGUCAUAAAUGACUUGAAAACACACAACAACAAGGGCUCUCCAAAUGCCACAAGGAAUUUGUUGGAAGGAUGGGUAAAAUCCUUGUUAUAAAGGGAAGAAAGUCGCUGCUAAUAAUUUGGAUGAAAGCUCCCUCCACUCCUGAACCGCACUCUCCUGCCUGAACAUUCCUGU